GUAGGGGGCGAGCGUUGUCCGGAUUUAUUGGGCGUAAAGAGCUCGUAGGCGGUUCGAUAAGUCGGAUGUGAAAUCUCCACGCUCAACGUGGAGGGGCCAUUCGGUACUGUCGUGACUCGAGUCCGGUAGGGGAGUGUGGAAUUCCCGGUGUAGCGGUGAAAUGCGCAGAGAUCGGGAGGAACACCCGUAGCGAAGGCGGCACUCUGGGCCGGUACUGACGCUGAGGAGCGAAAGCGUGGGGAGCAAACAGGAUUAGAUACCCUGGUAGUCCACGCCGUAAACGUUGGGCACUAGGUGUGGGACUCUAUCGACGGGUUCCGUGCCGUAGCUAACGCAUUAAGUGCCCCGCCUGGGGAGUACGGCCGCAAGGCUAAA
rnacentral:rRNA from 1 species